rnacentral:rRNA from 1 species
UACGGAUAGAAGGCGGGGACGUCGCAAGAGCCUCGCGCGAUUGGAGCGGCCGAUAUCAGAUUAGCUAGUUGGUGGGUAAAGGCCCACCAAGGCGACGAUCUGUAGCUGGUCUGAGAGGACGACCAGCCACACUGGAACUGAGACACGGUCCAGACUCCUACGGGAGGCAGCAGUGGGGAAUUUUGGACAAUGGGCGCAAGCCUGAUCCAGCAAUGCCGCGUGCAGGAAGAAGGCCUUCGGGUUGUAAACUGCUUUUGUACGGAGCGAAAAGGUACUCUCUAAUACAGGGUGCUCAUGACGGUACCGUAAGAAUAAGCACCGGCUAACUACGUG